CCUACGGGGGCUGCAGUGGGGAAUAUUGGACAAUGGGGGCAACCCUGAUCCAGCCAUGCCGCGUGUGUGAAGAAGGCCCUCGGGUUGUAAAGCACUUUCAGUGAGGAAGAACGCCUGGUGGUUAAUACCCAUCAGGAAAGACAUCACUCACAGAAGAAGCACCGGCUAACUCCGUGCCAGCAGCCGCGGUAAUACGGAGGGUGCGAGCGUUAAUCGGAAUUACUGGGCGUAAAGCGCGCGUAGGUGGCUUGAUAAGCCGGUUGUGAAAGCCCCGGGCUCAACCUGGGAACGGCAUCCGGAACUGUCAAGCUAGAGUGCAGGAGAGGAAGGUAGAAUUCCCGGUGUAGCGGUGAAAUGCGUAGAGAUCGGGAGGAAUACCAGUGGCGAAGGCGGCCUUCUGGACUGACACUGACACUGAGGUGCGAAAGCGUGGGUAGCAAACAGGAUUAGAUACCCUUGUAGUC
rnacentral:rRNA from 1 species